UACGUAGGGUGCAAGCGUUAAUCGGAAUUACUGGGCGUAAAGCGUGCGCAGGCGGUUUUGUAAGUCUGACGUGAAAUCCCCGGGCUCAACCUGGAAUUGCGUUGGAGACUGCAAGGCUGGAGUCUGGCAGAGGGGGGUAGAAGUUCCACGUGUGAGCAGUGAAAUGCGUAGAGAUGUGGAGGAACACCGAUGGCGAAGGCA
rnacentral:rRNA from 1 species